UACGGAGGAUCCAAGCGUUAUCCGGAAUCAUUGGGUUUAAAGGGUCCGUAGGCGGUCUUGUAAGUCAGUGGUGAAAGCCCAUCGCUCAACGGUGGAACGGCCAUUGAUACUGCAGGACUUGAAUUAUUGGGAAGUAACUAGAAUAUGUAGUGUAGCGGUGAAAUGCUUAGAGAUUACAUGGAAUACCAAUUGCGAAGGCAGGUUACUACCAAUUUAUUGACGCUGAUGGACGAAAGCGUGGGUAGCGAACAGGAUUAGAUACCCUGGUAGUCCACGCCGUAAACGAUGGAUACUAGCUGUUGGGCGCAAGUUCAGUGGCUAAGCGAAAGUGAUAAGUAUCCCACCUGGGGAGUACGAACGCAAGUUUG
rnacentral:rRNA from 1 species